rnacentral:rRNA from 1 species
UUCCGGUUGAUCCUGCCGGACCUUACUGCUAUCGGGGUGGGACUAAGACAUGCGAGUCGAGCGUCUCUAGCUAUGUUGAGACGCGGCAGACGGCUCAGUAACACGUGGCUAACCUACCGUCAGGACGAGGAUAAACCCGGGAAACUGGGGCUAAUACUCGAUAGGUGAGAAUGUCUGGAAUGACUUCUCAUCCAAAGGGCCUUGGAAACAUGCUUUCAAUGUCGCCUGGGGAUGGGGCCGCGUCCGAUCAGGUUGUUGGUGAGGUAACGGCUCACCAAGCCUAUAACCGGUACGGGCCGUGAGAGCGGUAGCCCGGAGAUGGGUACUGAGACAAGGACCCAGGCCCCACGGGGCGCAGCAGUCGCGAAAACUCCGCAAUGCACGAAAGUGUGACGGGGCUACCCCGAGUGCCAUCCGCUGAGGGUGGCUUUUCUUUGGUAUAACUAGCCAUGGGAAUAAGGAGAGGGCAAGACUGGUGUCAGCCGCCGCGGUAAUACCAGCUCUCCGAGUGGUAGGGAUGAUUAUUGGGCUUAAAGCGUCCGUAGCCGGCUUAGCAAGUCUCCUGUUAAAUUCAGCGACCUAAUCGUUGACCCGCGGGAGAUACUACUAGGCUAGGAGGCGGGAGAGGUCGACGGUACUUCUGGGGUAGGGGUGAAAUCCUAUAAUCCCGGGAGGACCACCAGUGGCGAAGGCUGUCGACUAGAACGCGCUCGACGGUGAGGGACGAAAGCUGGGGGAGCGAACCGGAUUAGAUACCCGGGUAGUCCCAGCCGUAAACGAUGCGAGCUAGGUGUUGGGAUGGCUACGUGCCAUCUCAGUGCCGCAGGGAAGCCAUUAAGCUCGCCGCCUGGGGAGUACGGCCGCAAGGCUGAAACUUAAAGGAAUUGGCGGGGGAGCACCACAAG